rnacentral:rRNA from 1 species
GAUGAACGCUGGCGGCGUGCCUAAUACAUGCAAGUCGAGCGAACGGACGAGAAGCUUGCUUCUCUGAUGUUAGCGGCGGACGGGCGAGUAACACGUGGAUAACCUACCUAUAAGACUGGGAUAACUUCGGGAAACCGGAGCUAAUACCGGAUGAUAUUUUGAACCGCAUGGUUCAAAAGUGAAAGACGGUCUUGCUGUCACUUAUAGAUGGAUCCGCGCUGCAUUAGCUAGUUGGUAAGGUAAUGGCUUACCAAGGCAACGAUGCAUAGCCGACCUGAGAGGGUGAUCGGCCACACUGGAACUGAGACACGGUCCAGACUCCUACGGGAGGCAGCAGUAGGGAAUCUUCCGCAAUGGGCGAAAGCCUGACGGAGCAACGCCGCGUGAGUGAUGAAGGUCUUCGGAUCGUAAAACUCUGUUAUUAGGGAAGAACAUAUGUGUAAGUAACUGUGCACAUCUUGACGGUACCUAAUCAGAAAGCCACGGCUAACUACGUG